rnacentral:rRNA from 1 species
GCCUAGCCCUAAACUGAUAUUUAGCGUACAUAACAUAUCCGCCCGGGGACUACAAACACUAGUUUAAAACCCGAAGGACUUGGCGGUGCUUUAGAUCCACCUAGAGGAGCCUGUUCUAGAACCGAUAACCCCCGUUUAACCUCACCCUUUCUUGUCUUGUCCGCCUAUAUACCGCCGUCGUCAGCUUACCCCGUGAGGGUAAAAAAGUAAGCUAAAUUAGUAUAACCCAAAACGUCAGGUCGAGGUGUAGUGUAUGAGAGGGGAAGAAAUGGGCUACAUUCAUUCAAUAAUGAACACGAAAGACUAAUUGAAAUAUAACUCUGAAGGAGGAUUUAGUAGUAAGAGGAAAAUAGAGAGUUCUUCUGAAAACGGCUCUGAAGCGCG